UACGAAGGGGGCUAGCGUUGCUCGGAAUUACUGGGCGUAAAGGGCGCGUAGGCGGGGUCGUUUUAGUUAGAGGUGAAAAGCCCAGGGCUCAACCCCUGGAAGUUGCCUUUAAUACUGGCGGCCUUGAGUAUGGCAGAGGUGUGUGGAACUCCGAGUGUAGAGGUGAAAUUCGUAGAUAUUCGGAAGAACACCAGUGGCGAAGGCGGACACACUGGGCCAUUACUGACGCUGAGGCGCGAAAAGCGUGGGGAGCAAACAGG
rnacentral:rRNA from 1 species